UUCUUUUUCGUCUUCCUCGUCUUGCUUUUGGUAGGAGCUUCACAGGCUCGCAUGCUUAAUAUUGAUCUAUCAGACUUCAUUGACGGAACCAGUCAACAAGUCCAAAGAGGUCAUGUCAAAGUUGAGGAUAAUGAUGACUUAAUCAACCAGGUUGCCAAAUCGGCUUGCUUUGGUAACCUAAUCAACGAGAAUGCGAAAUCAGCCUACUAUAGUUACUUGAAUACCAAGCGUCUAAACAUAUACGGCACCGAUUGGCUAUGGAGGAUUGAUGUCCUUUUGAUUCUAUUAGGUCUCUCUUUUUUGAUUAGCCAU